rnacentral:rRNA from 1 species
CUGGCAGUCAGAGGCGAUGAAGGACGUGCUAAUCUGCGAUAAGCGCCGGUAAGGUGAUAUGAACCGUUAUAACCGGCGAUUUCCGAAUGGGGAAACCCAGUGUGACUCGUCACACUAUCAUUAACUGAAUCCAUAGGUUAAUGAGGCGAACCGGGGGAACUGAAACAUCUAAGUACCCCGAGGAAAAGAAAUCAACCGAGAUUCCCCCAGUAGCGGCGAGCGAACGGGGAGGAGCCCAGAGCCUGAAUCAGCAUGUGUGUUAGUGGAAGCGUCUGGAAAGGCGCGCGAUACAGGGUGACAGCCCCGUACACAAAAGCGCAUGUGCUGUGAGCUCGAUGAGUAGGGCGGGACACGUGGUAUCCUGUCUGAAUAUGGGGGGACCAUCCUCCAAGGCUAAAUACUCCUGACUGACCGAUAGUGAACCAGUACCGUGAGGGAAAGGCGAAAAGAACCCCGGCGAGGGGAGUGAAAAAGAACCUGAAACCGUGUACGUACAAGCAGUGGGAGCACCCUUUGGGGUGUGACUGCGUACCUUUUGUAUAAUGGGUCAGCGACUUAUAUUCUGUAGCAAGGUUAACCGUAUAGGGGAGCCGUAGGGAAACCGAGUCUUAAC